rnacentral:rRNA from 1 species
GCUUAACACAUGCAAGUCGAGGGGCAGCAUGGUCUUAGCUUGCUAAGACUGAUGGCGACCGGCGCACGGGUGAGUAACACGUAUCCAACCUGCCGUCUACUCUUGGACAGCCUUCUGAAAGGAAGAUUAAUACAAGAUGGCAUCAUGAGUCCGCAUGUUCACAUGAUUAAAGGUAUUCCGGUAGACGAUGGGGAUGCGUUCCAUUAGAUAGUAGGCGGGGUAACGGCCCACCUAGUCUUCGAUGGAUAGGGGUUCUGAGAGGAAGGUCCCCCACAUUGGAACUGAGACACGGUCCAAACUCCUACGGGAGGCAGCAGUGAGGAAUAUUGGUCAAUGGGCGAGAGCCUGAACCAGCCAAGUAGCGUGAAGGAUGACUGCCCUAUGGGUUGUAAACUUCUUUUAUAAAGGAAUAAAGUCGGGUAUGCAUACCCGUUUGCAUGUACUUUAUGAAUAAGGAUCGGCUAACUCCGUGCCAGCAGCCGCGGUAAUACGGAGGAUCCGAGCGUUAUCCGGAUUUAUUGGGUUUAAAGGGAGCGUAGAUGGAUGUUUAAGUCAGUUGUGAAAGUUUGCGGCUCAACCGUAAAAUUGCAGUUGAUACUGGAUAUCUUGAGUGCAGUUGAGGCAGGCGGAAUUCGUGGUGUAGCGGUGAAAUGCUUAGAUAUCACGAAGAACUCCGAUUGCGAAGGCAGCCUGCUAAGCUGCAACUGACAUUGAGGCUCGAAAGUGUGGGUAUCAAACAGGAUUAGAUACCCUGGUAGUCCACACGGUAAACGAUGAAUACUCGCUGUUUGCGAUAUACGGCAAGCGGCCAAGCGAAAGCGUUAAGUAUUCCACCUGGGGAGUACGCCGGCAACGGUGAAACUCAAAGGAAUUGACGGGGGCCCGCACAAGCGGAGGAACAUGUGGUUUAAUUCGAUGAUACGCGAGGAACCUUACCCGGGCUUAAAUUGCAGAUGAAUUACGGUGAAAGCCGUAAGCCGCAAGGCAUCUGUGAAGGUGCUGCAUGGUUGUCGUCAGCUCGUGCCGUGAGGUGUCGGCUUAAGUGCCAUAACGAGCGCAACCCUUGUUGUCAGUUACUAACAGGUUCCGCUGAGGACUCUGACAAGACUGCCAUCGUAAGAUGUGAGGAAGGUGGGGAUGACGUCAAAUCAGCACGGCCCUUACGUCCGGGGCUACACACGUGUUACAAUGGGGGGUACAGAGGGCCGCUACCACGCGAGUGGAUGCCAAUCCCAAAAACCUCUCUCAGUUCGGACUGGAGUCUGCAACCCGACUCCACGAAGCUGGAUUCGCUAGUAAUCGCGCAUCAGCCACGGCGCGGUGAAUACGUUCCCGGGCCUUGUACACACCGCCCGUCAAGCCAUGGGAGCCGGGGGUACCUGAAGUGCGUAACCGCGAGGAGCGCCCUAGGGUAAAACUGGUGACUGGGGCU